rnacentral:lncRNA from 1 species
CUAAAUUCAAGUGGAAAAAUAUUCAGUUCUUAAUAACCAGGUGCCGAGGAGACCAGAUUCAAGUAAUCAGAGCACGCGCUGUUCAGUUCGGUUUCACGUUCUGCGUUUUUUUUGUCUCAAAACCUCUCUAUACAUCUCUAUAUAUCUAUAUAUGUAUAUACAUAUAGAUAUAUACACACAUAUGUGCAUACAUAUUAUUUUAUAUUUAUAUAUAUACACAUACAUAGUUAUAAAACAUUAAAAAGAGCAUUGGUGGAUCAAGCAUCAUUUUCCCCACAGAAAGAAAAUAAAACAAAAAUUACACAUUAAAAUUCAAAAUGAGCUAGCAAUGGCUUAUAGUCCUAGUGUGCAAUAUGAAGGUUACAAAAGGCUAGACUUCGCACUGUCGGCAUCUUCGUUUUUCUUUUCUUUUUUUUUUAAAUUUUUUGUUUGAUUUUGCUACAUUGAAAAAUGUUUUUUUGUUUUUGUUUUUGUUUUUUUCCUUUACAAAACUCCUUAGACAGAGUCCUGUGGUAGGUCAGAGCCUGGGCAAAUGCUCAGCAGCAGCACGUGGUGCCCACAGGAUUCAGGAGGCUCUGGUAGGGGCUGUUUAGAAAUCAAUUGACUUCCUGUUGAAUCGGGUGCACUGACUGCUCCUCCCUCCCUGCUCCCUCUCCAGCUCAGGGGGUCCUGGCUUUCUAGCUGUGGGCAGCUGAGAGGAGACACACACACACACACACACACACACACACAGGAAAAAGAAAACCACUGCCCUUGAAGCCCUUUGGGGUGGGGGCUUCAGGGAGAUAAGACUCUACCCCACCCCUCUAAUGCCUGCUGGGCCUGGGCCCUGAAGUGCAGAAGAGGGACAGAGGCUGGAGGGCAGCCUGCCCCGUCUGGGGACUGCAGCAGCCAGGUCAGGUGUGUGCCUGCCAUUAGCCCUGCACUGGGCUGACAGCCUCAGAACCUCCAGGAGGCGGGGUUUGAAAAAGGGGCUGAAUCUGGGUGGGUUGCACCAGCCUAGAAGCAUCCCGAGCAAAAUAAGAAGACAAACUGGGACAACAAGCAAGAAGCCCUGCAAAGCCACACGCAUAACCAACAGAGGAAAACUCCAAUGUUAAAUUAACUACAAACUCGUGUCAACAGUAAUAGUCCAUUUUUCUUGUCUCUACAAAAUUCAAGUUAAAAGUUGGAAUCACGCAGCUCUCAUCAGUGCUAGUGUGAAGACGGACAGCCUCAAACUGCUAAGGCCUCUAAAAUCAAAGCUAAACAUCCCACGGGAGAAGUCGCACCCCCUUCUCCAAGCUCAGGCUGGUCCGCGGGGUGUGGCACUCAGCCGCCCGCUUUUGCUUGUCUUUUUUUUUUUUCCUUUGCUCUACGUAGAAUAAUAACCUUUACAGGAAAAAUACUGUACAACUUCUUGUAUUUUUUUCCAUUUUGAAUAUUAAAGCCCAAAACAGCCGCAUCCUUCCUGUUUGCACCACCAGGGUGUCAGCCGCCCGCUUUUGCUUGUCUUUUUUUUUUUUCCUUUGCUCUACGUAGAAUAAUAACCUUUACAGGAAAAAUACUGUACAACUUCUUGUAUUUUUUUCCAUUUUGAAUAUUAAAGCCCAAAACAGCCGCAUCCUUCCUGUUUGCACCACCAGGGUGGCUGAUACCCCAGUCCCCAAG